GACGAACGCUGGCGUGCUUAACACAUGCAAGUCGACCGGAAAGGCCCUGCUUUUGUGGGGUGCUCGAGUGGCGAACGGGUGAGUAACACGUGAGUAACCUGCCCUUGACUUUGGGAUAACUUCAGGAAACUGGGGCUAAUACCGGAUAGGAGCUCCUGCUGCAUGGUGGGGGUUGGAAAGUUUCGGCGGUUGGGGAUGGACUCGCGGCUUAUCAGCUUGUUGGUGGGGUAGUGGCUUACCAAGGCUUUGACGGGUAGCCGGCCUGAGAGGGUGACCGGCCACAUUGGGACUGAGAUACGGCCCAGACUCCUACGGGAGGCAGCAGUGGGGAAUAUUGCACAAUGGGCGGAAGCCUGAUGCAGCAACGCCGCGUGCGGGAUGACGGCCUUCGGGUUGUAAACCGCUUUCGCCUGUGACGAAGCGUGAGUGACGGUAAUGGGUAAAGAAGCACCGGCUAACUACGUG
rnacentral:rRNA from 1 species